AUAGUAAACUGCGAGUUGUAUAUG
rnacentral:siRNA from 1 species